rnacentral:rRNA from 1 species
ACUCAAAGGAAUUGACGGGGGCCCGCACAAGCGGCGGAGCAUGUGGCUUAAUUCGAUGCAACGCGAAGAACCUUACCUGGGCUUGACAUGUUCGGUCUACCUGCAGAGAUGUGGGGUGCUUUUGCGCCGUUCACAGGUGGUGCAUGGUUGUCGUCAGCUCGUGUCGUGAGAUGUUGGGUUAAGUCCCGCAACGAGCGCAACCCUCGUUCCAUGUUGCCAGCGCGUUAUGGCGGGGACUCAUGGGAGACUGCCGGGGUCAACUCGGAGGAAGGUGGGGAUGACGUCAAAUCAUCAUGCCCCUUAUGUCCAGGGCUGCACACAUGCUACAAUGGCCGGUACAGAGGGCUGCGAUACCGCAAGGUGGAGCGAAUCCCAAAAAGCCGGUCUCAGUUCGGAUCGGGGUCUGCAACUCGACCCCGUGAAGUCGGAGUCGCUAGUAAUCGCAGAUCAGCAACGCUGCGGUGAAUACGUUCCCGGGCCUUGCACACACCGCCCGU